rnacentral:rRNA from 1 species
UAAGGAAUAUUGCGCAAUGGGCGAAAGCCUGACGCAGCGACGCCGCGUGGGGAUGAAGGUCUUCGGAUUGUAAACCCCUUUCGGUAGGGAAGGAUGGAGGCGAGCAAUCGUUCGGACGGUACCUCCAGAAGCAGCCACGGCUAACUUCGUGCCAGCAGCCGCGGUAAUACGAAGGUGGCAAGCGUUGUUCGGAUUUACUGGGCGUACAGGGAGCGUAGGCGGUUCGGUAAGCCCUUUGUGAAAUCUCCAGGCUUAACCUGGAACAGUCGGAGGGGACUGCCGGGCUAGAGGACGGGAGAGGAGCGCGGAAUUCCCGGUGUAGCGGUGAAAUGCGUAGAGAUCGGGA